AACUGAUUAGAACCAGAAGGUUGAUGUUGACUCCUGAUCACCUCACUACCGACCAAAAAUAGGAGACUGUCCACCAGCUGAUCCCAUAUCCCUCUUCCUCACCCUACCUUUAAAAACCCCUCCCUGAAAGUCAUCAGGUAAUUCAGGCCUUUUUCUUUGGGUGUUAGCUUCUGGUACUACUUGCCUGACGCCCUGCAAUAAACACUGCACUUUCUUUCAUCACAAGCCAGUGUCAGUAGAUUGGCUUUGCCGCACUGGUGAAUGGACCCACACUGGGCUGAACAACAAAAGAAGUCAGUUACAAAAGACUAUGUAUUAUAAGAUCCCAUUCUGUCCAUUAUAGGCAAAUUCAUGGAGAUAGAAAGCAGGUUAGUUGUUGCCAUUAGUAGGAUGGAAUAGGGAGUCACUGAUAAUGGGUACAGAGUUUCUUUGGGGGGUAAUAAAAAGUGCUUUGGAAUUAGAUAACGGUGACGGUUGCAUGACCUUGUGAAAAUACUAAAAAGCACUGAAUCGUACAUUUUAAAAGGGUGAAUUUUGUGGUAUGUGAAUGUAACUCAAUUUUUAAAAAUCCAAUUUGUGUGUGCACACACACACACAUCCUACCACAUAGGACAGUUAAGAAAAUGCCUGGGCUUACGUGCACAAGGCACAGUGUCCGCAGAAUUCCUCCAGGAAACAGCUGUUUUUAUUUUCCAUAGUCCACGGAGGGUCAGAAAGAGUGAAGGGAGGAAAGCCAUAAACACAGCUACAUCGGCCUGACGUCUCCGCCUCUGACGUUGGCAGGGCCACUCACCGCUCCUCCCCUGCAGUCCACUGCCCGGUAUUCCUGCCUCUCAGCUCGGCGGACGGUCCGGCUUCCACCACCGGGGCUCUUCAGGCAGGCGGCCCGAGGUGCUUCAUCUUUAACCAAAGGCCUGGUUUCUAGAGUGGAAAAACCUGCUUGGCCCUGGGUUGCUCUCACCAUGGGCUCACCACUGAGACCCAAGUUCCCUCAGUCUCCACACUUGGAUAUCAGGGGACCGGAUACAAAGAGCUCUGUGAUGCCUUUUGACUUCCCUGUACAGUCAAGGACAGCUGCAAGGUGGAGAUCUUCCAAAGGUCACCAAGAGCACCAAGCCUUCUAGCCCCAGUGCCAGGGGUUGACCUCAAAAGGAACUCCAGUGAGGUUUCUGGAAAACAUUCCAGUUCUUUCACCCAGCUCACACCAUAGCCCUCUGAAAAGGUUACACAGUGUCUCCUCAAAGUCCUGUCAGUGGAAAUUCGAGUGGAUUGUUAUUGCUUUCUUCUUCCAAGGCCCAUUCCCUCCUCCCCUAAUAAUGGAACCCUAGUUUUCCUUUAAGGAAUUGUCCUUUCUCUGUUGCCAGUCCUUGAGGGUUGAGCUCCAGGGACAGGCUCAUGAAAAGCUGGGCAAAAAGCCUAUUUUCCACCUCGGUGGUUGACUGAUGAUGGGAUAAAGGACAAAGGCAGACUCAAAUCAAGACGUUGGCCAGAGAUGCUGGAGGCCUUUGGCUUCUUUAUGGAAUGAAGUCUCACAGAAGAAAUCAGAGCUGGGAGCUGAAGAAGAGACAAUUGUUGAGAACAACAUUUGAGCCCCUAGAUCCAGCCAUGCCUGAAAGCCUAUACGUGGACUUUCAAUUACCUGAGCAAAUAAAUCCAUUCCCACUUUUUUGUUGUUGAAGGGA
ensembl:lncRNA